UACAGAGGGGGGCAAGCGUUGUUCGGAAUUACUGGGCGUAAAGAGCUCGUAGGUGGUUUGUCGCGUUGUUCGUGAAAACUCACAGCUCAACUGUGGGCGUGCGGGCGAUACGGGGCAGACUUGAGUACUGCAGGGGAGACUGGAAUUCCUGGUGUAGCGGUGGAAUGCGCAGAUAUCAGGAGGAACACCGGUGGCGAAGGGCGGGUCUCUGGGCAGUAACUGACGCUGAGGAGCGAAAGCGUGGGGAGCGAACAGG
rnacentral:rRNA from 1 species